CCUGCACUGGAUUUCGCUGAUGGAUGACGCUAAUGCAUUCUGAAACCAGAUAGCCCAAGAUUAGUGGAUGCUGACUCAUGGUGAUUGCAGGCUGUACGAAGUAUCUUGCGCGGCUAACAGUGGCUGAUCGGCCCAGUUCCUACUGUCCGUGUAGCAGAGAAUAGACCAAAACGAGGACAGGGGGGCCAGCAGAAGCAGCUCACCAGCUAGAUCGCGCCCACUCUGCGCCACGCGAGUAGGCUACAAUGCUCUCUCCUCGCCAGCAUCCUGGACGUUCAUCCCUAAUCAGGUGGUCCUCUCAGCCCAUGCAGAGGUACUGUCAUGCACGCAUUGGAGAGGAGUGCAUCCCGAGGAGAGCCCUCCC
rnacentral:lncRNA from 1 species